UUUCCGUAGGUGAACCUGCGGAAGGAUCAUUAAAGUUAUAGUCCCCUGGCCCUCUGGGCUGGGGUCUUCUAUACCACCCUUUGUUUAUUACACCUUUGUUGCUUUGGCAGGCCUGCCCUCGGGCUGCUGGCUCCGGCCGGCUCGCGUCUGCCAGAGGACCUAAACUCUGUUUGUAUAUGAAGUCUGAGUACUAUAUAAUAGUUAAAACUUUCAACAACGGAUCUCUUGGUUCUGGCAUGAUGAAGAACGCAGC
rnacentral:misc_RNA from 1 species